CUUUGUGGUAUAAAGUGCAGAUAUGUGCAGUACACUGCUGUGCAACAUGGAGCUGAGGAAGUUGCUGUGAAAAAGACAAUCUAAUAUAAAUAUUUAUAAAUACAGGAUGUCGUGUGUUUACAGGAAUGCUCUGUGUGGGAAGAAGCUCCUCCUCAUACUCUCUGUAUUGGUCUUCAGAGUCCAUUGUUCAGAUGGAUGAGGUCCUUCACUAUAUUCCUGGCCUUGGUCCAGCUCCACUUGCUGUAGAUAGACUGCAGGUCAGGGAGCUCAGUGUGGAUUGUACGCUCAGCUGAUCACACCACCCUCUGGAGAGCCGUCUAUCCUGCUUGGUGUUUCUCCUGAACCAGGCUGUGAUGCGUCCCAUCAGGAUGCUCUCAAUGGUGCAAAAGUUCCUUAGCACCUUAGACACCUGAUUAAAGUCCCUUAAGCAUUUAAGGUAGUAUAGAUGCUGCCAGGCCUUCUUCACCAGAGUGUUCAUGGGACAGGACCAGGACCGGUCCUGCAUGAUCUGAACACCAAGGGACCGGAUACUGUCCACUCUCUCCACUGGGGUCCCGUUGAUCAUAAGGGCUGGUAGCUCCUCUCCUGCUUCAUGAGUCCUCCAUCAACUCCUCGGUCUUUCUGAUGUUCAGGAGGAGGUUGUUCUAGUGGAAUCAGUUCUCCAGGGUUUUAAUCUUCACCAGGUUGGCCUUCUCAUCGUUAUCAGAUACCAAGCCCACAACAACAGUGUCGUCAGUAAACCUGACCAUGGUGGUAGAGCUGGAAGUGUCCACACCGGCAGAGCUGGAAGUGUCCACACAGUCAGAGGUGGAAGUGUCCACACCGGCAGAGGUGGAAGUGUACAGUGAGUACCGCAGGAGGCUCGGGACACGACCUGGGGGCUUCAUUGCUGAGGGUGAGACAUGUCUGACCACCUGUCUGUUAGGAAGGUGAAGAUCCACUGACACAGGGACGGGUUAAGUCGCAGGUCCUCCUACUUGGUGGCGAGUUUGGACGGAAUUAUAGAGUUAAAUACUGAACUGUAGUCAACAAACAGCAUUUGAACAUAAUUUCCCUUCCUGGUGUCCAGAUGGUUCAGGGCUGUGUGUAGGAGGUGUGUGAUGGCGUCCUCGGUAAAGCGAUUGGGACGGUACACGAACUGUAAUGGGUCCAGAGUGUCAGGUAAUGAAGAGGUGAUGAAGUCUCUGACCAGCCUUUCAAAGCACUUCAUCAGGAAUGAGGUCAGGGCGACUGGGUGAGAGUCGCUGAGGCAGGCUGGGGUUUCUGUGGGACAGGAAUGAUGAUGGACUGUUAGAAGCGUGUGGGGAGUACUGACUGUACCAGGGAGAGGUUCUAUACCUCUGUGAACACUGCAGCUAGCUGGUCAGCGCAAGCUCUACAAACCUCGACUUGAGAUGCCGUCUGGUCCUGCUGCCUUCUUGGUGUUCAC
ensembl:lncRNA